rnacentral:lncRNA from 1 species
CUUUGGUGGUCAGUGGCCAUGUUUAUUUGUGUUUGUUUGUCUCUGGUGGCUAUUAUCCAAAGAAGAAUAUUUAUUUUGGUUAUUUUAUAAACAAUUUUGGGGUUUAAAUGUUUUUAACUUAAAAACACGUUUAUGUACACAUUUUAAAUUGUAUAAACUUUGAAAUGUCAACGAUUAUAAAAUUCGAUUUAAAAGAUUUAAGAAAAUUAGCCUGUGAUAAGAAUUCUUGUGUGAUUGAGAAAAAAGUGACGCAAAAUUUGGCUUUACAGCCAUGGUGUCUCGGUAACAUUAAUGAAUCAAUAAAAAAUCUAUUGGAUUAUAAAAUUGGGAAAUUUGAUAAAGAAUACAAUGGUAUUUUAUUGAGUUACAAAAAUUUACGUCUGCUACAAAAUAUUGGCACCAUCAGAAAUGACAAUGCUGACAUCCACUUCCAAGUGCAAGCUGAUUAUUUUAUUUUCCAACCAUACAUUGGUGCAAGAUUAACUGGAAUUGUCAAUAAGAAAAGUACCACACAUCUUGGCAUUCUAGUCCAUAGAGUUUUAAUGUAGUUAUACCAAGGCCAACUGAAAAACCUGGAAAUGAAUGGAUAGGAUCAAGUAUACAAGAAGGUCAAGAAGUGAAGUUUACAAUUGUGGUCUUGGAUCUGUAUGGUGCAUUGCCUUACAUUAGGGGACAAUUGGAUGAAAGUUCUGUGAAAUUUUCUCAUGAAGGAGAUUGUGAAGAAAUGGAAACUGAAUCACUUCAGCCACUUCAAGUAUCCUAUAUUGACUUUGAUAAAACUAAACCCAAUAUACAAAAGCAAAGUGGGGAUGGUACAACACUACCUACAAAAAAUAAAACAAAAUUAAAUUCAAGUAAACAUCAAUUGAAGAAUGUGCCUACAACAGACAGCUCUAAUCAAGUUCAAAAUGGAAAAAGUAAUGCUAAAACAAAACAUGUAGAAAGUAAUGUUAGUAUGUCCGAAAAGACGAAAACUAAGAGGCGAAGCAAAAUACCAGAAACAGAUAUGAAGCCAUCAGACCCAAAUAUUAG